GCGCAACCCCUGACCUUAGGUUGCCAGCACUUUCGGGUGGGCACUCUAAGGUGACUGCCGGUGACAAACCCGGAGGAAGGUGGGGAUGACGUCAAAUCAUCAUGCCCUUUAUGGCCUGGGCCACACACGUGCUACAAUGGCCGGUACAGCGGGAAGCGAAGGCGCGAGCCGGAGCAAAUCCCUAAAAGCCGGUCUCAGUUCGGAUUGCAGGCUGCAACUCGCCUGCAUGAAGGCGGAAUCGCUAGUAAUCGCGGAUCAGCAUGCCGCGGUGAAUACGUUCCCGGNCCUUGUACACACCGCCCGUCACACCAUGGGAGUUGGCAACACCCGAAGCCGGCGCUAAGCGCCGUCGAAGGUGGGGCCAGCGACUGGGGUGAAGUCGUAACAAGGUAGCCGUACCGGAAGGUGCGGCUGGAUCACCUCCUUA
rnacentral:rRNA from 1 species